GAAAGGCAGCUUACCAGCAUGUCUUUUUUUUGUUUUUGUUUUUUCCCCCUCACAGACUGAUCUCUCCUAGAACAGUUGAGAAGAAUGCACACAGAAUCUACAUUCUUUUGACCCUUCCAACAUCCGCUGGCCAAGACUGGGAUCGCUCCCUAAGAUUGGAAAGCUGCCUCUGAGACUCUGAAGGUUUACCUGCUGAUACUCGCUCCUUCCCAGUAACCCUCCAUCCCAAGGGGAGCCCCAGAAAGAACACCAGGGGGGCCUCCCUGCUGCCGCAGAACCACCUCACCCGCCACUCCAGCACUAAGUCAGAGCUGCCUGAGGAAGACUCCGCACACGUUUCCCUCGAGCUGGUCUGCAGGCCCCUCUGGCUGGGACCCUGUCCUGGGAGCUGCCCGUCUGCAAACAGAGAGCCCACAGUGCCUCGGGAAAAAUUGGCUGAAUAAAAGAUGCGUUGGAGGGAAGGACAGGAGAUACAGGAACGAGGAUGGAGCAGAGCAAGAUGGGGUUGAAGGAGCGUCCACAGAAGCUUCUGUGCAGGCCAGGCUGAGAGGUCACUACCCAGAAGGCUGAGGGUCCCCGAUGCUGGCCGGGCUCCAGAGACUCCUGAACUUGUGGAUGUGGAGUUUUUCCUCCUCCAGUUUUGUGAUGAAUAAAUUCACUUGUCUCCCCA
rnacentral:lncRNA from 1 species